UUCCCUCAGCACAGGCUUGGGAUGCUGUUGCCCACCCUGCUGCCAUCCACUCCACUGCUGCCUGCUGCUACUUAGCUGAUGCCACUCAUUUUCCAGUGACAGUUGUCAACUGGGUCUUUCCUCUUCCAUUUUUGAAGCUCCUCCUGCAUCUUAUCGAUUUUGGCAGGAUUCAGAGCCCACAAGCAGCCUUUGCGAGAAGAAUUGCCUGACUUGUUCUCAACCUUCUCGAAGCAUUUGUUCAAAGACAAGUUGUGGCGCACGGAAUUCUUCCAGCCAUCUGGAGCUGUCUGGAAAAACAAAUCCAAUCUAAGAAUGGAACUUCAAGGGCAACGAGAACCAACAAACAGACCCUUUAACACUCAUCUGAAGAUGAUGAAGCAGGUUUUCUGCCCUCCACAUCGUACUAGUUUUGCUUUCUGGCAGUUCCAGAAGUAAAACUGUUCCUCCAAGGAAGCAAUAAAUUCCCUAGGAUUUGCUGUAAAACAUUGUGCUCAGAAGUGUAGUUCUGCAAAAUACCAACUGAAGACCUUUUUCACAGUCCCCAAAAGGCUUUCUCUCUUACUAAUAUUGUUUUGCAAGGACUGCACAGACUGAAAAUCAGUUGUGCCUCUGUGACUUAGGAAAGCUGCAGUACUUCAGAUUUGUGUCAGUGGACAAUCCUGUUGUGAAGGGAAACUUCUGGAAUUAUGUUGUUAUUCUCUGCUUGCUUGUUACAAGUAAUGGAGUGGCUAGUGAUUCCCUUGGGAGAGAAUCUGGGAAUGCAGAAGUGUAAUCAUAGAAUCCCGAUGUGGUGGGAGCUGGAAGGGAUCUCUGGAGAUCACCUAGACAACCCCAACUCUGCUCAAGAAGAGGCACCCAGAGCAGGAUGCACAGGAUCAUGUUCAGGUUAUACAGACCCAGGUCUCUCAGCUUCUCAUAGGAGAGAUACUACAGUGUCCCUCUACUCUGCCCUAGUAAGGCCACAUCUGGAGAAUUAUGUCAAGUUUUAAGCUCUUCAAUUCAAGAUGGACAAAGAACUACUGGAGAGAGAUCAGUGGAGGGAUAAGAAGAUGAUAAGAGAGGUCUGGAACAUCUCCCUCAUGGAUCUUAGUAACAGAUCCAUACAGUUCCUCCUACUGGAUGUCAAUUCUUUCUCCCUGAUUCCUGACAGGUUCAAUGUUAUUUCUUUGUGUGGGCAUUAUUUAUCCUCAGUUUCCAAAAGCAUUGCACAAUUGCAUCAGACUGUUUACUUUUAGUUAUUCUUAGUGUCCCUUUCUUACUGCUUGCAGCUGUUUGAGUUGCCAUCCUCUAGCUGCUUUGUAUUUGUUUUGGUCGCUGCAUGUUUAUUUGCAAUAGGAAAUGGGGCAGACUCAUGUGGCUGUGUUUUCCUUUCUGGCCUUUGCCGUGGGUUACCUGGGCUGUCAGGGAGCUGGUUUUGAUGACUCAGCAAUAAUGAAGCUCUGUGGUGAGCAGCAGUUGGCCAUUCUGUCACAGCUCUCUUUAAAAAAAUCUUAACUGUAAUCCUCCUGCUCCGGGGUCGAGAGCUGCCUAAUCUCUUCCCACUUGCAUUCCAAGUGUCAGAAGCCAUCCUCUCCUAGCACAGGUGUAAAUUGCCAGAGUUAUCUGCUGCAAACCAUGAGCAUUACCUUCCCCAGCAUCACUGUGUGUCAUUAUGAGCUUAGCACCGUUUAUCACUUAUUAUGUUUUCUUUUGUACUGUGCAUGAAAGUGAAGUUGCCCAAUAUGGAUAUCCCAGCUCGAGAAGAGAGCACAAUAACAUUGAGCCUCUGCUUCCACCUGAGUCUGGACACACUACUGAUGGCAGAGGAAGCCACGAGACCUGUUCUGCCUCCCCAGAGUCUGGAACAUUUGAUUCAUACAACUGGGACAGAGCACACGGGGAGCAAGAGAAGUAAGAUACUGCCUGAAAUGGAAUAUAGAAAUACCUACUGAAUACACAGAUUUGUUUGCUACAGUAAGCAGGGUGAAGUGAAUGAGAUGCACAUAAUGAAUCAUGUCCUGCCUUGUUGAACUAACUGCUGGAGACUGCAAAGCUGCAGCCUCCAAAGCAGCUGUGAGCUAAUUUUCAUCUGCAGUUCUCUGCUGGCUUCUUGCAUUGUGUGUGGAUUUUUCACUAGAAUAGAAAACUGAGCAAUUCACACAACAAUGUCGAUUUAAUUGCUUUUAGUGACUCUUUGGAAGGAAAGAUUGCUAAGAUGGGACUGGUUGUGAUGUCACCACCAAAGGCAAGAACUGGGUGUUUUAGGGAUUAUUUCUGUUUUAUUGGUUUCAUUACUCUGUUUUGAGGGAGCAGAGGCUGGGGUAUGGUCUGGUAUGACAGGCUUGAGCUGGUUUUAGAGUUGUACAACUGGCAUGAAAGGUGCCUGUGUUUUAUGGUGGGUGGGUAAUGACUUCACUAAGUGUCUGCUAGGUUUUUCAGGUCAAUAAGAAGCAAUUUUUCGUGUGAGUCAUCCUCUGUGUUGUGUCCAGCAAAGGGGAAGGUGAGGCCAUUUUAUCAUCUGGAUGAAAUUAGCAAAGGAGUUGGUCUCUCUCAUCCUUGCUGUGAACAGUGAGGGGUAGUUUGAACAUCCUUCUGAUCAGGCUAAAGGAUCUGUUCUCUUGAGUGCAAGCUCCUCAUGAUCUAAAUUGUGCUAUUCCAUUCAAGAGUGAAAUGCAAAGUACUUAUUCUGGAGUUGCUCAUGGAAAAGAUGUUAUUCCACUUCUUCUCUGUCUUGUAUCCUAUGUUCUUUUGUUUCCCAGCAUAUGAUUAUGGCACGGGGAUAGCAAUUCUACCUGUUAUGACUUUGGCUGCUUGUACCUAUUGUGGUGUGGGUUUUUUUUUCUCUCUGAGUAGUAAAACACUUUGCUGUACUUUUACUAUGGUAGCAUUAAGAAGCACAACUAUGGAAAAGUCUAACAGAAACCUGCUGCAUGUGAGAGCCCUGUCCCGGUGCCAGCCUGCAGGUGGAUGGAAGACUUUCCUCUUAGUACUUGUUGUGUCUUGCCUAACAACUCCCAGAAGGUGUGUUUCAGCUUUAAUUUGGUAGGGUUUUUUACAUAUGGUUAAUGCCAGUGGUAUCAAAUCAGCAGUGACAGGGGCAUGGGCACCUGUUCCAGAAUGAAUAAAGAAACAACAAACUCACAAAAA